rnacentral:piRNA from 1 species
GUUGUGGGCUCGGCAGCCGGCGCG